GAUCCGGUGGCCUAGUGGUUAGAGCGUCCGCCUCGGAUGCGGGAGAUUCGAACAUCGGCCGAGUCG